GGAUCUUUAUCUCAAAUGGUAGAGCACUUGAGAAUAUAUGAGUAAUGGAGUAGUAUACAUCCAUUACUUCUCAAGAGAUGGUGGUUCAAGUCCACCAAGAUCCU